rnacentral:rRNA from 1 species
UACGAAGGGGGCUAGCGUUGCUCGGAAUUACUGGGCGUAAAGCGCACGUAGGCGGCUUCUUAAGUCGGAGGUGAAAUCCUGGAGCUCAACUCCAGAACUGCCUUCGAUACUGGGAAGCUCGAGUCCGGGAGAGGUGAGUGGAACUGCGAGUGUAGAGGUGAAAUUCGUAGAUAUUCGCAAGAACACCAGUGGCGAAGGCGGCUCACUGGCCCGGUACUGACGCUGAGGCACGAAGGCGUGGGGAGCGAACGGG